rnacentral:rRNA from 1 species
GUGGGGAAUCUUCCGCAAUGGACGAAAGUCUGACGGAGCGACGCCGCGUGAGUGAAGAAGGCCUUCGGGUCGUAAAGCUCUGUCAUCAGGGACGAACGGCCGGUGGAGUGGAAAGCCACCGGAUUGACGGUACCUGAGAAGGAAGCCACGGCUAACUACGUGCCAGCAGCCGCGGUAAUACGUAGGUGGCAAGCGUUGUCCGGAAUUAUUGGGCGUAAAGCGCGCGCAGGUGGGAUCUUAAGUCCAUUUUUAAAGUUCGGAGCUCAACUCCGUGAUGGGAUGGAAACUGGGAUUCUUGAGUACCGGAGAGGAAAGCGGAAUUCCCCGUGUAGCGGUGAAAUGCAUAGAUAUUAGGAGGAACACCAGUGGCGAAGGCGGCUUUCUGGACUGUAACUGACACUGAGGCACGAAAGCGUGGGGAGCAAACAGGAUUAGAAACCCUGGUAGUCC